UACGUAGGGUGCAGGCGUUAAUCGGAAUUACUGGGCGUAAAGCGUGCGCAGGCGGUCUUUUAAGUCAGAUGUGAAAUCCCCCGGGCUUAACCUGGGAACUGCGUUUGAAACUGGAAGGCUUGAGUGUGGCAGAGGGGGGUGGAAUUCCACGUGUAGCAGUGAAAUGCGUAGAGAUGUGGAGGAACACCGAUGGCGAAGGCAGCCCCCUGGGCUAACACUGACGCUCAUGCACGAAAGCGUGGGGAGCAAACAGG
rnacentral:rRNA from 1 species